rnacentral:sRNA from 1 species
CACUUUGGGAGACCAAGGCAGGCGGAUCACUUGAAGUUGGGAGUUUGAAGAUGCCGCAUUUGGAUUGGAUGAAUUCCAAAUUCUGCUUGCUUGCUUUUUAAUAUUGAUAUGCUUAUACACUUACACUUUAUGCACAAAAUGUAGGGUUAUAAUAAUGUUAACACGGACGUGAUCUUCUUUAUAAUUCUACUUUGAGUGCUGUCCCCAUGUUUGAUGUAUCUGGGCAGGUUGCUCCACAGGUAGCUCUAGGAGGGCUGGCAACUUAGAGGUGGGGAGCAGAGAAUUCUCUUAUCCAGCAUCAACAUCUUAGUCAGAUCUGAACUUUUCAAUCUCUUGCACUCAAAGCUUGAUAAGAUGGUUAUGUGUGCAUAAGUUAACUUCCAAUUUACAUACUCUGCUUAGAAUUUGGGGGGAAAAUUUAGAAAUAUAAUUGACAGGAUUAUUGGAAAUUUGUUAAAAUGAAUGAAACAUUUUGUCAUAUAAGAUUCAUAUUUACUUCUCAUACAUUUGAUAAAGUAAGGCAUGGUUGUGGUUAAUCUGGUUUAUUUUUGUUCCACAAGUUAAAUAAAUCGUAAAACUUG